rnacentral:rRNA from 1 species
UACGGAGGGUGCAAGCGUUGUUCGGAUUUACUAGGCGUAAAGCGCGUGUAGGCGUCUUAGUAAGCCUUGUCUGAAAGUCUAUGGCUUAACCGUAGAAUGUGUCAGGGUACUGCUAAGAUUGAGUUUAAGAGAGGAAAGCGGAAUUCCUGGUGUAGCGGUGAAAUGCGUAGAUAUCAGGAAGAACACCGGUGGCGAAGGCGGCUUUCUGGCUUAAAACUGACGCUGAGACGCGAAAGCGUGGGGAGCAAACAGGAUUAGAUACCCCGGUA